GAGUCGCCUCCUUCUCGCGCCUAACGUUUUGUUUUUCUGCAAGUCCGCGCACGCAGCUCAUGGGUGAAUGCACGGCUGCAUGGCAUCGCAUUAAGACCUGCGGCAUUUUCUCGUGUUCGCACAAUCGGUGGGAGACACGUCGCAUGUGAAAUGUUUGAUAGAAGUGCCUCACGUCCAAGUGAAGCGGCCGUACGGGUGCUAUGGCGGUGUGCCCCGUUCUCGGAAGCGUCGACCGAUUUCCGGCAUGCGGAUUUCAGAGUUUGGACUCGACUUUUGGUGAGCAUGUCGAUCGACCUUGGGCCUGGUGACAACACACCCGACAUGGCCAAAGUGCAGCCUAUCAGUUGAGUGCCCCCGAAUGGACCAUCAACAUCGGAAAAUGAAGCAGAGCCAGGAAGAAAACGUUCCGGUAACUCCAUGCAUUCAGUUUGGUGUCCCAGACGUGUAUUCAAGCAACCUCCUUCAUGUGAACCAAGAACUACUCUUCAGUGUCUCGCAGGCUUCCAUGCGAAGCCCUCAACAUUCUCGUCUCAGUGGAAUGGCUGCUCAUCUAUCAGCGUGUCCAUCACCAAGACUGCCAGUUGUAAAGCUUCUGACCCCUUUAAGAAAGCUUAGUGAUUUUUUUAUUUACUUUUCAGGGUUGGCCAUAGAAUCUGAAAAUUUUUUAUGUUUCAACAUAUUUACCUGGGACAAAGCGGUGCAAUAACUUUUAUACCAGUGUAAUGUAUUUAAGUGAUGCUCACUCUCAUGCCUAUCUGGUUUUGUUAGCGUUUAAGUAAUUUCAAUGUCUGAUGAGGUAACAGCAUUUGAAUUUGUCAUCGUGGCUCGUUUCAGUGAGCUGCUAGGAAAUAAGACGCAAAAGUUACCACACGCCAGUUGCAGCAUUUUUGUUUUCAUGACUACAGUAUACACGUUUCAAAAGAUUGAAAGUGGGGGAAAAAGCCUCAAGAACAUAAUCAUUCUAGGAUUGUCAUGUCCUUACAGCUCUGCAAUGACUAAUGCCUCAUAGAUCUUGGGAGCACAUUGGUCGCAAUGCCUACAGGUAUAUUUGAUAAGAGAAUAGCUCGCACCCAGAUUUGCCACACAGUUGAUGGCUGAUGGCUUUUUUUUUUGUCGUCUUCAUGUUACUACUAUGUAUUCAAUAUUCGUUUAGAUGUAAACGACACUACAGGCACCGAAAUACCAAAUGGCACUUGCAUUUCAGGAGACAAAGUGUCCAGCAUGCCUGUCACAAAACGUGUUCUAGGGGCUACCUUCCCUGUAUAGGUAAAUGGACACCAGAUGUUUUUUGUACAAUGUAAUUGGUGUUCUUGUCUGGAGUGCCUGAACGAUGUGCUAAGGGGAGUGUACUGGCACUGUCUGAAGAUAAUGAAUGAUCCUAGAAAGCCUGCAGCUGAGCAUCUGCCACCGUACUGAAGGAACUGUCCUAAUUUAUUUUAUUGAUGUGGUUGAAAUUUGGCGGUCUGCCGGAAGAUUAUUUAAAGUUGUGGCUGUGGCAGUGCUGUCGAACUAAAGCACAUAUUACACACAUCGACUCACACGAUGCAGUCUGAAAGUUUUGCUACGUGGUAUCUGUGCUUGCUGCCUGACCUUAUGGCACCUUUACGAGCAGUCGCAGGUGAUCGCAGCUGCUGAGGCUUUAUCAACUGGCAAGGUGAAAAAAAAGAAUGCUGUGCCACCAGUGCGGCUGCACACUCCGAGAUGCAAGCUAUCUUGAACCAGGUGUUUGGUAGACCGUACCUGUGCAACCAAAACAUGGUUUUUCAGCCCUAUAGGCAACUGCGUUCACAACUGCACGCAAGUGUGCUGCCACAACAGAAAGUUAAGAACAUGCAGCAUUUUUACCAGUGUUUCUUCAAAACAUUAGUGCAAAUCAUUCUUUCACCAAGGCGGGUAAUCAUGCAUAGGUAAUGAGAACAGGGCAUUUGUGACGCACAAGGGGUCAUGUGUCUAAAGUUUAAUUAGAUCAGUAAUCUAUGAGAUGGAAUUAUAAAAAGUAUACAUUUUGUUCCUCAGUGGUCUCUUGGAGAGACAUGACCAUUUCCGGAAGUUUAGUUUUGACUUCUUAUGUCUAGAUUUGGUGUGCAUAUUGCAACUAUAACUAACAGCCAGAGCUCUGUCCUGUCCAGUUUUAUGCUCUCUGUGAUAUUUGCAAUAUUUUUCAGUUCAGCUGAGCGAAGUAUAUGUCUUUACUAUAACUAGUUUUCAUGUUCAACUUUUGUGCAGUGCUCACUAGUUAUUACUAGCCAUGUUUUGUUCACAUAGACACACUCAGACUUGUUCUUUCUUAUAUGGCCGGUUAUUUUCGUACUUUAUGGUAAGAUACAGUGCUUUUCGAAUGAAAACAUGUGAUAGUUCAUGGUGAGGUUAUUUAAAAAACUUUUCUGCUUAAAGUUUAAUUGAACAAGCCUGUGCCAUUAUUCGGUGCUUAUGUCUUUCUAUUGGUAUGGUUUUACUCAUCAUCUUCCUUUUUUACUUUUAAUAUGUGCAAACUUUAUUAUGUAACCAUUUCUCUUUAAUGACAUGAUAAAUGCUUUUCUUCUCACAUUUCUUCACAAAUUUUACAAUGAUUUUGUUCAAUUAGGUAACCUUAGACUAUCUUAUUGUUAUUCUGAUAGCUUAACUUAAAAUGCCUGUGGGAUAUUCUGUGCAAGCACAUGGUGAAAAAUAAACUAAAUUAUUGGGUAUAAGCAGGUCACUGACAGUAAAUGGAGCAUACAUAAAUUUCAGGAAAUAGUGCAUGUUUAUAUAUUCACAGCAUGCACAGCUACACGUGCAGUUUUGUUUGUAAAUGCUGAAACAUUAUUCUAAGCGGACGCGCUUUGUUACACUUUGUUCUUUCGCUUUCAGUGCUACCUUUAAAUCAUUAUAUAGGUGAAGGUACUAGUAGAAGCAUCCCGUGGAUAUAAAUGACAACUUUGAUGAAUAGAGUUAUAAAAUAUGUGCAUAAAACAGCAAAAACAGCUUGACAGGCAAACGUAUGCUUCUGUACUACUGCACUGGUUACCGUCGCCAAUCCAUGCAUUGCUUGUGCUCUAUUGCAUUCAAUAUGAGCUACAACAACGGGCUGUGGUGGCUUUCCCUCCUGGUCGAGCUGGUGUUGCUGCGAAAAUUUUUCGCCAAGAAAAGUGGAGUUUUUUAAUUAUUUCAGAAAUGCAUGUAACAUCAUGCCUUUGGUUGUGUGGUGUUUCCAUGGAAUGAUAAGUACU